GACGAACGCUGGCGGCGUGCUUAACACAUGCAAGUCGAACGGAAAGGCCCUGCUUUUGUGGGGUGCUCGAGUGGCGAACGGGUGAGUAACACGUGAGUAACCUGCCCUUGACUUUGGGAUAACUUCAGGAAACUGGGGCUAAUACCGGAUAGGAGCUCCUGCUGCAUGGUGGGGGUUGGAAAGUUUCGGCGGUUGGGGAUGGACUCGCGGCUUAUCAGCUUGUUGGUGGGGUAGUGACUUACCAAGGCUUUGACGGGUAGCCGGCCUGAGAGGGUGACCGGCCACAUUGGGACUGAGAUACGGCCCAGACUCCUACGGGAGGCAGCAGUGGGGAAUAUUGCACAAUGGGCGGAAGCCUGAUGCAGCAACGCCGCGUGCGGGAGGACGGCCUUCGGGUUGUAAACCGCUUUCGCCUGUGACGAAGCGUGAGUGACGGUAAUGGGGAAAGAAGCACCGGCUAACUACGU
rnacentral:rRNA from 1 species